GAUGAACGCUGGCGGCGUGCCUAAUACAUGCAAGUCGAGCGAACAGACGAGGAGCUUGCUCCUCUGACGUUAGCGGCGGACGGGUGAGUAACACGUGGAUAACCUACCUAUAACACUGGGAUAACUUCGGGAAACCGGAGCUAAUACCGGAUAAUAUAUUGAACCGCAUGGUUCAAUAGUGAAAGACGGUUUUGCUGUCACUUAUAGAUGGAUCCGCGCCGCAUUAGCUAGUUGGUAAGGUAACGGCCUACCAAGGCAACGAUGCGUAGCCGACCUGAGAGGGUGAUCGGCGACACUGGAACUGAGACACGGUCCAGACUCCUACGGGAGGCAGCAGUAGGGAAUCUUCCGCAAUGGGCGAAAGCCUGACGGAGCAACGCCGCGUGAGUGAUGAAGGUCUUCGGAUCGUAAAACUCUGUUAUUAGGGAAGAACAAAUGUGUAAGUAACUAUGCACGUCUUGACGGUACCUAAUCAGAAAGCCACGGCUAACUACGUG
rnacentral:rRNA from 1 species